GCAAGUCGAGCGGUAACAGGUAGUAGCUUGCUACUUCGCUGACGAGCGGCGGACGGGUGAGUAAUGCCUAGGAAAUUGCCUUGAUGUGGGGGAUAACCAUUGGAAACGAUGGCUAAUACCGCAUAAUGCCUACGGGCCAAAGAGGGGGAUCUUCGGACCUCUCGCGUCAAGAUAUGCCUAGGUGGGAUUAGCUAGUUGGUGAGGUAAUGGCUCACCAAGGCGACGAUCCCUAGCUGGUCUGAGAGGAUGAUC
rnacentral:rRNA from 1 species